rnacentral:rRNA from 1 species
GUCCACGCCCUAAACGAUGAAUACUCGAUGUUGGCGAUAUACGGUCAGCGUCUAAGCGAAAGCGUUAAGUAUUCCACCUGGGGAGUACGCCCGCAAGGGUGAAACUCAAAGGAAUUGACGGGGCCCGCACAAGCGGAGGAGCAUGUGGUUUAAUUCGAUGAUACGCGAGGAACCUUACCCGGGCUUGAAAGUUAGUGAAAUGUGGCAGAGACGCCACAGUCCUUCGGGACACGAAACUAGGUGCUGCAUGGCUGUCGU